UGGGGAAUAUUGCACAAUGGGCGCAAGCCUGAUGCAGCCAUGCCGCGUGUGUGAAGAAGGCCUUCGGGUUGUAAAGCACUUUCAGCGAGGAGGAAGGUGGUGAACUUAAUACGUUCAUCAAUUGACGUUACUCGCAGAAGAAGCACCGGCUAACUCCGUGCCAGCAGCCGCGGUAAUACGGAGGGUGCAAGCGUUAAUCGGAAUUACUGGGCGUAAAGCGCACGCAGGCGGUUUGUUAAGUCAGAUGUGAAAUCCCCGGGCUCAACCUGGGAACUGCAUUUGAAACUGGCAAGCUAGAGUCUCGUAGAGGGGGGUAGAAUUCCAGGUGUAGCGGUGAAAUGCGUAGAGAUCUGGAGGAAUACCGGUGGCGAAGGCGGCCCCCUGGACGAAGACUGACGCUCAGGUGCGAAAAGCGUGGGGAGCAAAACAGGAUUAGAUACCCUGGUAGUCCACGCUGUAAAACGAUGUCGAUUUUGGAGGUUGUGCCCUUGAGGCGUGGCUUCCGGAGCUAACGCGUUAAAUCGACCGCCUGGGGAGUACGGCCGCAAGGUU
rnacentral:rRNA from 1 species